rnacentral:tRNA from 1 species
GCCCGAGUAGCUCAAUGGUAGAGCAAUCGCUUCGUAAGCGAUAGGCUGUCGGUUCAAAUCCGACCUCGGGCU